rnacentral:rRNA from 1 species
UACGGAGGGAGCUAGCGUUGUUCGGAAUUACUGGGCGUAAAGCGCGUGUAGGCUGACCGGAAAGUCGGGCGUGAAAUCCCUGGGCUCAACCCAGGAACUGCACUCGAAACUCCCGGUCUUGAGUGGUGGAGAGGGAAGUGGAAUUCCUGGUGUAGAGGUGAAAUUCGUAGAUAUCAGGAGGAACACCAGUGGCGAAGGCGCACACCUGGCCCGAUACUGACGCUGAGGCGCGAAAGCUAGGGGAGCAAACGGG